rnacentral:rRNA from 1 species
GGAUGAACGCUAGCUACAGGCUUAACACAUGCAAGUCGAGGGGCAGCAUGGUCUUAGCUUGCUAAGGCCGAUGGCGACCGGCGCACGGGUGAGUAACACGUAUCCAACCUGCCGUCUACUCUUGGACAGCCUUCUGAAAGGAAGAUUAAUACAAGAUGGCAUCAUGAGUCCGCAUGUUCACAUGAUUAAAGGUAUUCCGGUAGACGAUGGGGAUGCGUUCCAUUAGAUAGUAGGCGGGGUAACGGCCCACCUAGUCUUCGAUGGAUAGGGGUUCUGAGAGGAAGGUCCCCCACAUUGGAACUGAGACACGGUCCAAACUCCUACGGGAGGCAGCAGUGAGGAAUAUUGGUCAAUGGGCGAGAGCCUGAACCAGCCAAGUAGCGUGAAGGAUGACUGCCCUAUGGGUUGUAAACUUCUUUUAUAAAGGAAUAAAGUCGGGUAUGGAUACCCGUUUGCAUGUACUUUAUGAAUAAGGAUCGGCUAACUCCGUGCCAGCAGCCGCGGUAAUACGGAGGAUCCGAGCGUUAUCCGGAUUUAUUGGGUUUAAAGGGAGUGUAGAUGGAUAUUUAAGUCAGUUGUGAAAGUUUGCGGCUCAACCGUAAAAUUGCAGUUGAUACUGGAUAUCUUGAGUGCAGUUGAGGCAGGCGGAAUUCGUGGUGUAGCGGUGAAAUGCUUAGAUAUCACGAAGAACUCCGAUUGCGAAGGCAGCCUGCUAAGCUGCAACUGACA